ACAACAUCAGACUUCUUCUCUCGAUAUUUAGAUCUUCUUCCGCUUUUUGAGUCCAUGACAUUUUUUUUGGUGGACGUUGUUUCCAUGGAAAAUCAAAUAAGAUUUGUUUUAAAGAUCGGAUAGUCAUCACAUAUUAACGAAAACCACUGGAAACGAACACAAAAUUAAAAAUAUGUGUUAGAUUUGUUAAGGACUCAACAAAAAAAUUUGGAGAAAAUUCUGUGUAAUCGUUAGAAAUUACACAACGAAAGUUGAAGAAAUAAAUAUGAGAGAUGAAAAAUAAAUUGUAUAGAAACAGGGAUGCACACUUUAAUUUUGGUGGACGUUGUUUCCAUGGAAAAUCAAAUAAGAUUUGUUUUAAAGAUCGGAUAGUCAUCACAUAUUAACGAGAACCACCGGAAACGAACACAAAAUUAACAAUAUGUGUUAGAUUUGUUAAGGACUCAGCAAAAUUUGCCGGAGGAAAUUCUGUGUAAUCGUUAGAAAUUACACAAUGAAAGUUGAAAAAACAAACAUGAGAGAUGAAAAAAUAAAUUGUAUAGAAACACGGAUACACACUUUAAUUUUGGUAUUGCAUUCACAAUCACCUUUUGAAUUUUUUUUGUGUGGAAUUACAUGUUUGAAAAAGAAAAAUCAAAGAAGGGAAAGGAACCACCGGACAGAUGCCGGUUACCCUAAGGACAAUCAAGGGAGAUGAAAGAGAUAGUUAUCCUUGGCUUAUCCAACAAGACAUCUUCUUUCUAUUUCUUUUUUUUUACAAUAUUUUUAUUGGAUUAAUAGUAUAAUAGGUGGUCAUAUUUUAAGAAAUUUAAUUGCUUAAAUUGUAUACCAAUUAUUUUUAUUUUUUUAUUAAACUGUUGAUAUAUGGGUUUAUUCAUUUUCGUAAAGAUAUAUCAUUCUCUAGUUUUGGUGAGAAACAAAUAAAUAAAAUAUUUUAUUCAAUUUUGUUAUGUAAGAUUGUCUAUUGUUUGUCUACCUGAAGUGUUAUAAAGAAAAUAUAUUUAUCACUUCAGGUCCCAUUUGACUCGACCCGUCAGGCCCUAUCACUAUAGUUCUAUGUGUCACCAUUUCUGGUCUGAAUCAAGUGUACUGCGGUUCUCUAUCACUUUUCUUAAGCGCUGAUGCAUGACACUUCCACGAUAUAUCUCAUAGAAUACGUAAUAAUAAAACAAUCCACGUUAAAACUAUAGGGUAGGGUUCUAUCAGGUGACACACAACAAAUCAACAAUCUGUAACAAACAGAAAAUAUAUGAAAAUAGAUCAUUUUAAUCACUAUUUCUAAUUCAAUACAUAAUUUUUGGUGUGAUCUGAAUAAAAAAUAGUAUUUUGUAUAGUGAUCAGAUGUAAGUUAAUAACUCAUAUGUAUUGUUCUAAUAUAGUUGAGACAUAAUAGUUUGACUGUUUCUAUAAACAACUAAAAAAAAGUUAAACAAUAAUAUGAUUACCUAACAAUAAUUAGAAAAAAACGAGUCAAACAAAUCUAACCAAUUUUUAUGGAUCUCCAUGCAAGACGCAUUGCUAGUUUACAUACUUCUACCUAUAAAUUAAUCUAAAUAAAAAUUACACCAAAAAUGAGUAAACGUAUAAUAUUCAAAAGAAUAAUAAUAAACGAUGUUUGUAUCGUAAGAAUAAUAUGUCGUCAUCACAGUUCGCUAUCUUUUGCAUCAUCUUGACUGCUUUAUUCUCUCUUCAUGAAUUUGUCGAUGGCCAAAACGAUUGCAGGCAAAUAAUAUGCCCAGUCGCCCAAAAACAUUUACGCAAAUGUAUUUGUUGUUUGGUCCCCAACGCUAUUACUGAGCCCAAGUGUUACUCGAAGAAACAAGACUGUAUGCGCAAUUGCAACAUAUUAUAAGUUAUCUCGAGGACUUACAUCAAUGAUUUAAAACAAAUUAUGAAUAACCUUUUUAUUUAAUAACUCCUAUAUUUACCUUCGUUUUAUAUGAAUAAUACAAGCUUAUUUGGAGCCCAACAAA